rnacentral:sRNA from 1 species
AGAGACUAGAUACAAGUUAUCUUUAAAGUAUAAAGGAUAGUGACGUCGAUGUAUUGUUUGCUAUACACAGCUGCUGGCAUCUUCAGGAGAAAGAUGCAUUUUCGUGACUUUUUCGGAGCUAGCUCAUCUCGGUUAAUUACAGGCCAGGCUGACAACUUGUUUUUAAUCCUAUCUAACAAACAGCGAGACCAACAAUUGGGAGAACAGAAUAAAUUCACUGACAACAACAGCAGGGGAGUGAACGCCUAGAAAGGGCACAACAUCAACCUGUAGCCAAUUCUCCACAGCAGAUCCGACUGUCGCACCGACCGCAAGACCCCCAACAGUGUCGGAAUAAUUUACCUAAGUUCAUAUUUUUCUUUGUCAGGAAAUACAAUGAAGCACCAAAUCCUGUUGCUAAGAUAAAUCCAGGCACAUCAGGGCUAGUGUAUGUUGAUGGUAAAGAUGUAGCGCUUCCACUAGCAUAAGUGAAAACCAUCAGUGCACCAUAAACGCAUGAUUGGAUACCCAAGCUGCUCGAAGAUGGAGCCUCAAAUGUCACGGGUGCGUUCUUCAUGGUUGCUUGCAUCCACUGUGGUACUGUGCCUGAACCUGCACUUUUUACAGGUUUGACGUCAGCAUAGCGGAUGCUGUUAUCAACAACCUUGCCAGCCCUUCGCUGUGAUAAGCUCUGCAUAAGCAGCAUGGGGGAAAGAAGAUUCACCCGACCUGCGCGACGGCGUCCUGGUCGUCCUUGCAGGAUGCGAGGACGGCGUUCUUGGCGCGCAUGAUGUCGUCGAAGGAUGCGCCCUCGGCGACGCCCAGCAGCUUCAGCGCGCCCUCCAGCGUC